AGACUAGAUGGGGUAUCCCUACAUGGCGGGUGGGACCCACGGCGAACGGUUCAUCAGACUUAAAAAAAGAAUAUAUACGAUUGCAUUGCAUAUACUAACGGAUGCGAUCAUACCAGCACUAAUGCACCGGAUCCCAUCUGAACUCCGCAGUUAAUCGUGCUUGGGCGAGAGUAGUACUAGGAUGGGUGACCUCCCGGGAAGUCCUCGUGUUGCAUCCCUCUUUUUUUUUUUUUUUUUUUUGGUUAAAACUUUAUGACUCAAUAACUUGUACACUG
rnacentral:rRNA from 1 species